CUCAGCAAUGCUUACAUCCCCUACAGUUUGAACAAUUCGGAGUAUAUUAGUAUGGCCCCUGCACAAAGAUGAGCCACAAAUUUGUGAGGCAUUCCAUAUUAAA
ensembl:snRNA U6 U6 spliceosomal RNA